rnacentral:rRNA from 1 species
GGGUCAGUAGGUUGGUCGUGCCACCGGUACGUACUGGUCUCACUGAUUCCUCCUUCCUGAAGAACCGUAAUGCCAUUAAUUUGGUGUUGCGGGGAAACAGGACUGUUACUUUGAAAAAAUUAGAGUGUUUAAAGCAAGCUAACGCUUGAAUACAUUAGCAUGGAAUAAUGAAAUAGGACGAUCGAUCCUAUUUUGUUGGUUUCUAGGAUUGACGUAAUGAUUAAUAAGGAUAUUUGGG